GGCGCGCACGGACGCUCGGACGAGCGAGGGGCGGCGACCCCUCGCGGACGCUCGGCCGCCUGCCGGGCCGGGCGCUCGCCCUCCCGCUCGCCCUCGCGCGCGCCCCGCGCCCUCCCGCGCCCUCCCGCGCGCCGGCGGGACCAUGAAGAAGUUCUCUCGAAUGCCCAAGUCGGAGGGCGGCGGCGGCGGAGCGGCGGGCGGCGGGGCCGGCGGGGCCGGGGCCGGCUCCGGGAGCUCGUCCGUGGGGGUCCGAGUGUUCGCGGUCGGCCGCUACCAGGUCACCCUGGAGGAGUCGCUGGCCGAAGGUGGAUUCUCGACGGUUUUCCUGGUGCGGACUCAUGGUGGACUCCGCUAUGCGUUGAAGCGAAUGUAUGUCAAUAAUGUGACGGACCUCAACAUUUGUAGAAGGGAAAUUACAAUUAUGAAAGAGCUGUCUGGUCACAAAAAUAUUGUGGGUUAUUUGGAUUGUGCUGUUAAUUCAAUCAGUGAUAAUGUAUGGGAAGUGCUUAUCUUAAUGGAAUAUUGUCGAGCUGGGCAGGUAGUGAAUCAGAUGAAUAAGAAGCUGCAGAUAGGUUUUACAGAACCAGAAGUGUUACAGAUAUUCUGUGAUACCUGUGAAGCUGUUGCAAGGUUGCAUCAGUGUAAGACUCCAAUAAUUCACCGGGAUUUGAAGGUAGAAAAUAUUUUGUUAAAUGAUGGUGGAAACUAUGUACUUUGUGACUUUGGCAGCGCCACAAAUAAAUUUCUUAAUCCUCAGAAAGAUGGAGUUAAUAUAGUAGAAGAAGAAAUUAAAAAGUAUACAACUCUGUCAUACAGAGCCCCUGAAAUGAUCAACCUUUAUGGAGGGAAACCUAUCACCACCAAGGCUGAUAUCUGGGCCCUGGGAUGUUUACUGUAUAAACUUUGUUUCUUCACUCUUCCUUUUGGUGAGAGUCAGGUUGCUAUCUGUGAUGGCAGCUUCACCAUCCCAGACAAUUCUCGUUACUCCCAUAACAUACAUUGCUUAAUAAGGUUCAUGCUUGAACCAGAUCCAGAGCAUAGACCUGAUAUAUUUCAAGUGUCAUAUUUUGCAUUUAAAUUUGCCAAAAAGGAUUGUCCAGUCUCCAACAUCAAUAAUUCUCCUAUUCCUUCAGCUCUUCCUGAACCGAUGACUGCUAGUGAAGCAGCUUCUAGGAAAAGCCAAAUAAAGGCCAGAAUAACAGAUACCAUUGGACCAACAGAAACCUCAAUCGCACCAAGACAGAGACCAAAGGCGAAUUCUACUACUUCCACUCCCAGUGUGCUGACCAUUCAGAGUUCAGCAACACCUGUUAAAGUCCCAGCUCCUGGUGAAUUUGGUAACCACAGACCAAAAGGAGCGCUGAGACCUGGAAAUGGCCCUGAGAUGUUACUGGGUCAGGGGCCCACUCAGCAGCCUCCACAGCAGCAUCGAGUACUUCAGCAGCUACAGCAGGGAGACUGGAGACUGCAGCAGCUUCAUCUACAGCAUCGUCCCCCUCACCAGCAGCAGCAGCAGCAGCAGCAGCAGCAGCUACUUCAGGAUACUUACAUGCAGCAGUAUCAACAUGCAGUGCAACAGCAACAGAUACUUCAACAACAGUUUUUAAUGCAGUCAAUGUAUCAGCCGCAACCUUCUGCAUCACAGUACCCUGCAAUGAUGCAGCAGUAUCACCAGGCUUUCUUACAGCAGCAAAUGCUAGCUCAGCAUCAGCAGUCUCAACAACAGGCAUCACCGGAAUAUCUCACCUCCCCUCGAGAGUUCUCACCAGCCUUAGUGUCCUACACUUCAUCGCUUCCAGCUCAGGUUGGAACCAUAGUGGACUCCUCUUAUAGUGCCAGUAGGUCAGUUGCUGAUAAAGAGGCAGUUGCAAAUAUUACAAAUCAGAAGAACAUCAGUAACCCACCUGAUAUGUCAGGGUGGAAUCCUUUUGGAGAGGAUAAUUUCUCCAAGUUAACAGAAGAGGAACUGUUGGACAGAGAAUUUGACCUUCUAAGAUCAAGUAAGGGACACUUGAAGGCUUAUUUUGCUUCACAGUAAAAUAACAGCUCUGUAAUUAUUCAGCAAGGCCAAAGACUGUUUGGGGAUGGUAAAGAGAAAAUUCUUUUUGUGCAUUUGAGGGCAAAAUUCAGGCCAUCUUCUUUUACAAAUACCAUCAAACUGUUUUGUGUGCAUUAGAAAUCAAUUGCUUGAUAGUAGCUAUUAAACCCAAGAUUGCUGAUAAUAUGCUGAUUCUGAACACUUAAAUACCGCAUAUCUUUGAAUGUUAACUCAGAAAUCUCCAAAAAAUGAAAAAUUAAUGUUCAAAUAAAAAGGGAAACAUUAGUAUCUUGCCUUACUAAGCAUUUUGCAGCUCUGUUUUCUUGCACACUCAGUAGAAGAUAUUGGGGUCUGAGAUGCCCUUUGAAAAUGCCUGAAAGAAAACAUGGGCUACUACAUUAUGUUAAUGUUUUGUAAUGCCCUUUUAAUGACUGGUGACAUGAAAGGGCUGCUUUGUUGUCCUGGUAUGGCAAAAGUGAAAUAAAUUCUUUUCCAUUUUAAAUCAGAUAUCUCAACGUUUUUACUUGCAGUCAUUGCCUUUUCUUAAACUACCUAAUAUAGAUAUCAAGGCUUGCCACACAUAUUUUAGAAGUUAUUUUUUGAAAAAGGAUUGUUUGGAGUGUUUUGAGGAGAUUGUGAAACAGUAGCAAAAAGCUCACUCCUGCAGUCUAUAGAUAAUUACCAGGUUUCUGAGUCUUGGGGGUAUGCGGGCGCGUGUGCCAAGUGUGUUUCCCUAUUUUGCAUGUGAAAAGGAGGUCUUAAUGGCCCCAGGUUAUAGUUCCUAGUUUCUGUUUUAUUUUAGGUAACUGGCCUUAUGAGAACAUUUAUUAGAUGAAGUACUUUGUUCCAAAUUGGUAUAUAUUUUAUGUAAAGUUUAUAAAUGCCCUGAAAUCAUGUAAACAUAGUUGUUUGGAAUUUAAGUUUGUAUUUUACAUAUUGGUUAUAUGAUUAUGAAAAAUUAAAUUGAUUAAAUGCAGAUAUAAAAAUGAGUUCUGAGCCUUUAAUAAAGGUUUGUUAACUUUGGUAAAACUAAUCUUACAUUUUUUUAUUAAAAUUUUUUUUUUUAAAACCACGUUUUUGUUUGGCAUUUUUCCUACAAUUUAUGUUGAGUGGUGCCAAAAGCAAGGUUUUAAAAAAGGAAGUAAAGUAUCUCUUUCCUUUAGGGGGAUGGUAGGGAGAUAACAGGGAUAACCAACUAUUGUAAUAUAUAGGAUUAUUUUUAAAGCAAAAGGUAAAAUUAAAAUAUUCAUUUUAAUGUAUUCUGACCAGGAUAGUAACUAGGGUUUGCUAAAUCAGUAUUUUCUUCUCUUUGGGUGAAAACUCCUCUCCCCUGUUAUUAAAAAAUAACACUGUGGUGUCCUAAGUGGGAGGGAAACCCAGAAGGGAGGGGAUGUAUGUAUAUGUGUGGCUGAUUCAUUCUGCUGUGCAGUAGAAGCUAAUACAACAUUGUAAAGCAACUACAAUCCAAUAAAAGUUAAUUAAUAAAAAAUAAAGAAAAUGAAUUUCUGCAGUGGGUAAAGUAUUCACAAUAUUUUGUAUCUUAUAAAAAUACAAGCUCCCUAGAAUUUGUAAUGAUACCCAAGUGUUAGUUACUUUGCAUAGGCAAGAAUGGCAUACAAAUAUUCAUGUGUACCUAACUUCAUAAAAAUUUGAUUUAGCAUGAAAAACUCUUAACUAGCUAUUUCUUUCAAACUUGGUCUGAUUACAUGUGUAAUUUGUGUAUGUGUUUGCAUGCACAUGUGUAUGCCAAAGAGAGUUCAGACUUCAUUGCAGUAUUAGUUAUGGAAAGAUAUUAAGUUCCAAAUAAAAGUGCAGGAGGAGCUUUAUCUGGAGAUCAGAAUUGGAGCAACUCAGCCAUUUGGGAAACUGCCUAGUUGGUCCCUGAGCUAUUGAAAUCACUGUCACAAGGACGAUAUACUUAAAUUGGCACAUAGCACCAGAAAACAUGACUUCUGAUAUCUGGCCAUGCCAUUUAACUAGGUUUAACUCUGUAAAGUCACUUAACUGCUGUUUCAUGUACUCAUUUAUAAACUGGAUAUUAAUGAUGCUUACCUGAUAGGGUUGUCAAGAAGAUUAAAUAAUGUCUUUAAAGAGUUUGGGCACUCCAUAAAUGCCACUUCUGCUUUUCUUACCUUCUGUAUAAGUCUUUGGGCUCUGACUUCUCUGAGGUUGUUGCUCUAUAACCAGCAUUUAAAACUUAUAUCUAAACUGUCAGGUUUCUCAGCUGGCAAUUAAAAAACCAAAUACAAGGGGCUUUGUGGACAAACACAUCAACAGCAGAACUGAUGUAUGACAUGGAAAGAGAUGGAAAAAUGUCUGUUUUCCUUUAAUAAUUGAUGGUCAUAAUAAUGGGGUUCAAAAAAGGUGCAAUGUCUUCAAUAAAGAAAUUAGUAAUGUGUAGAAUAUAGCUUAGAACGAUUUCCUCUCAGAUUUGACUUAAUUGUGAUAUUGAAUCAUCUUUAGCACCUCUUUCACUCACAGCAAUAAGGUAUCUAAUGUUUGAUGUACUUGAUAGGGUCUAAAUUACACUGAUGGACAAAAGACCUUUUCUAGAACCUUAAGAGUUUCAGUCGACUAACAGUGCAAUGAAAAUUGAUUGUUGGUCAUUCCUGGUUGGUUCCUCUGUCCCUAUUAACUUUUUCCAAAAUGAAUAAGUAAAUUAUCAAUGCAUUUGAAGUAUCAAAUUUACCUUUUUCCCAGCACAGAUAUUUAUCAACAAUUAUUCAGAGUCCUUUCUAAGAUUUUUUAUAUUUGGCUUAUGAAAGCUUUCCAGUGAGAAACUGAAUAUGUUUUUGUAUGGUCCUUAAAAAUAUAGGGAUUGCCCAUGUAAUGAUUGUUCAGAAUAAAACAUUGCCAUUUGAGAUUUUAUUUUAAAAUGAUUCGUGGUUAUAUAUUUUUUUUAUAAAAGAAAAAGGAUAUGCUGUCUAGGAAAUAUUUUACUUGUGUGUAUUUUCCAGAAGGUAAUUUUAAAAUUAUAUUUUGAGAUACUAAAAUUCUAAGAUAUUAGUAAUUGAUAUUAAAAAAACCUGUUUUUUAGUGAUCUUUAAGAGAACAGUUGAAUCCAGCUGGCAAAGGGAUUUAACAUAUAAAAUAUAAAUCAAAUUCUUCUUGCUUUUGCUUUCAAUGUAACAAUAUUUAUGGUUUGGAAUUUUUUAUCUGUUCCUAUUUAAGACUAAAACAUUAAAUCGAAAUUAAGCAUUAUUAAUAAAGCUAGUCUCAAUAUUUUUUAAAGUUGAAUCUUGUAUUUUUCAUGGUCUUUUGUAUUAAAGUAUCCAGGUUAGUAUGUAAACUUUGGAAGAAUCAAAUUGUCAAAAUAUUUGAUACAUUAAACACUAAUUAGAAUACAGGUGUUUGCUUUGGGAAAAUUUUUAACUUGCAUUUGUUUGAGUAGUUGUGUAGCUCUACAUGUUAAUUAAAAAUAAUACUUGAUGGAAUAUUGUUUUCUUGUUGGUGGUGGAUUUAAUUGUUUAUUUCUGUUUAAAAUUGCAUCAAAAUAACUAAAAGGAAGAGUAGAAGAAACUAAAGACUGUGGCUGCUUUGCAUAUUCUACUGAAUGUGUUGUUUUUUUUCCUCUGAAGCCACAGUAUGAAGUAGGUGUAAACAUCUGUAUGUAUAGUUAGUUUGUUGUAAAACAUUAACACUCACCAUUUUAAGCUGAUUCAGACCUAUCACUGUUCCUUGAGGGCAGAAUUACAGAACUUUUCAGGUAUAUUAGAACAGUGACAAAAGAUCAGAUGAAGAUUGUACUUUUAAACCUUAUUCUUUAACCUUUUGGCUAUUCAAGUCAUCCAUGGAAGCUGUUGAAUUAACUUUUUGGAGUAUAUUAAUUUUCUGAUGAUAGUAUGAAAUACAAUUUGAUUCUAGGAUUUUAAAAUCCUAUAAUUUUGCCAUCUGUAUUAGUUAAAAUUCUUGAAAAGAUACUGUCUUUAUUCAGCACACAAUUUUGAGAAGGCAGGGAGAGGUAAGCUUCCUUAUAUUGGACAAAUCAAGCUCAACUUUUGCUCUAAUGAAAAGAAAACCAGUUCUUUGAAAAUGGAGCUUAAAUACAUUUGAGGGGUGACUAUAUAUUUGAAACUCUACAUACCGUUUCAUUAGUUUUUAUUUAUAGGUAAUUGAUAAUUUAAAAAAUUAAUAGGUAUGUUUAUUUUUUAUUUUGUGCCCUGGGUGGGACCCAGGUUAUCAUGUGAACUUUAGAAAUCUAAAUGAUUUUAAAAAAACCUCCAUGGAAAAAUUGGUCCUGUGUUUUGUGGAACAAUGAGAACAUGGUUCAUUUUAUAGUGAGUUUAUUCUGCUUCCUGUUUUGAAAUAGUUGGAUAAAUGAACUUUGCAUAGAACAGUAUCUUCAUAUUUUAAAUUAUGGGGACCCCAUAUAUAAAAAAUAUUUGUUUACCCCUACAUGUUAGUGUUUGUACUCUUGUCAUAACUACAUGGUGCUGUUUAUACAUUUACCAUGAAUUUACCAUAGAUUGAUGGAAAUAAUACACCACUGCAUGAGGAUUCAAAGAACCUUAGUGGUAACUUUGCAUUUUUAUAUACUGGAAACCUUUGGAACAGUAGUGGUUUAUAAACCUGGAGAGUAUGUUAAUAUGUAGAUUCCCAAGCUCCUACUCAGAUAAUCUGAUCCAUUAGGUCUGUGGUAGGACCCAGGUAACUACAUUUUUAUACAGGAGUCCUGGCAAUUAUGAUGCAGAUGGUUUAGGAAGGAAGUCUGGUCCUAAUUUUGACCUAAGUACCUAUAUACUGCAUACUUAAAUACAAGUACGUAUGUAAGUAUGGUUUUAUCAGGGCCUGAUAAAAUUGGUAACCCACAGGUAUCCUCUGUGACUUAGUGAAUCUUAGGCCGCUCCUUAAAGUUUGAUUGUGGCUUCCCGCCACAAUAAAUUAAACACACCCUUGGUUAUAGAAAGUGUUCUCCAACCUUAUUUUUUCAGAAAGAUGCUAUGAGACUAACUUCUCUAUAAUAGGCAUUGGACAACAAAAUACGAAAAAGCUUUUUUCAUAAUACAGUCAACAUUUGUUACUGAUUUCUUGAGUUAAGUAUACAGUGAGUAUCUUGAAAAAGAACAAUCUAAAAUAAAUUUUCAUUAUUAUCUAUUUCUGUAUUAGAUUUGAAAAUAACCUGUUAAGUUUUGGAAGUUUUAUUUGUGUAUAAAUCAGUUGUCAGAUGUGUUGCCGUAAAAUAUUAGUGCUUCAACAAAGUUUUAAGUAAAAAUGUAAACAACCUAAAGUUUCAUGUGAAUAUUGCGGAGUUAGUUUUAGCCAUAAAAGCUGAUAAUUGUAUCAUAGAGUUGUUUAAAGACUCAGUUGUCUGUAGCAAUAAUUAAGUAUUUUCAGGGUAUUGUAGACUCUGGGGCCUUGCCUUCUCAAGCUUGUGCUCCCUGGACCAGCAGUGUCAAGUCAUCUGGGAGCUGCUGAAUUGUAGGAUCUCAGGAUCCAUUCCGGAACCAGCCAGUCAGAAUCUGCAUUGUAACAACUCCCCAGACAGGCUCGAGGAGAGAGCAUCCUCAGAUAAGAAUAUAGAGCCACUUUCUGCUCCACAUAACCAUCCUCCAGAAGAUCCUUUUGGUUCUGUUCCUUUCAUUUCUCACUCAGG